rnacentral:rRNA from 1 species
CAGUCGCCGCGGUAAUACGUAGGUGGCAAGCGUUGUCCGGAAUUAUUGGGCGUAAAGGGCUUGCAGGCGGUUUCUUAAGUCUGAUGUGAAAGCCCCCGGCUCAACCGGGGAGGGUCAUUGGAAACUGGGAAACUUGAGUGCAGAAGAGGAGAGUGGAAUUCCACGUGUAGCGGUGAAAUGCGUAGAGAUGUGGAGGAACACCAGUGGCGAAGGCGACUCUCUGGUCUGUAAUUGACGCUGAGGAGCGAAAGCGUGGGGAGCGAACAGGAUUAGAUACCCCGGUAGUCCCUGUCUCUUAUAC